CAACUACUCCCUCUGUCCCAAAUUUCUUGUCUUAGAUUUGUCUAGAUACGGAUGUAUCUAAUACUAAAAUGUGACUUGAUACANGUCUUAGAUUUGUCUAGAUACGGAUGUAUCUAAUACUAAAAUGUGACUUGAUACAUCUGUAUCUAGACAAAUCUAAGACAAGAAUUUUGGGACGGAGGGAGUAAUUU
rnacentral:pre_miRNA from 1 species